AAAAUAAAAAACAUAGAUGGCUUGUAUUAUAAACAUCCAAGGCUAUACUUUUCACUUUUAAUUUUAAAGCUAUACCCUCAAUCCUUAGUUUUACAUUAUGCUACAAUUGUGCUUAGUUUUAAUUGCUUCUGUCAUCAUGAAUAUGAUAAUGGUAUUAGGAUUAUGUUUAACGGAUAAAAAUUGAGGCCACGUCAGAACUUGACCCCAUUGUGGUUCUUUUCUUGAACCAAUAUUUUAUUAGUAUUUAGAUAAUUCUCCUAAUUAUUUGACUCUUGCAUUCAAUGUUACAUUUCUAGUCCAAGGAUCUAAUCCACUUUUGUGUUAACUGUCUCCAGAGGUUUUUGCACUUAUAAACAUACUUAGGACUCUGACUUGGACGAGUUAAUUCUUCCCAAGAUGGAAGAGAGUUUUUGCUAGUGAAUAUAAGCCACUUGUCAUGUCGAGUGGAGCAGCCGAGGAUGGGAGACCAGGAGCUGUUCCUGAGUUGUGGUUAUUAGUACUUUAGUCUGCAUACCUUGUGUCGAGGGAAAUCAGCUCUGCCUUGUGUCGAGGGGAAUCUAUCUUUUUUGGAAGUGUGUAAUCAACGAUGAUGGGAUAACAAACAUACAUGGAAAAAUUUCCCAAGUAUGUGGCCAAUUGUACUCAACAAGAGUGUUCAUUGGAUACGCCAACAAGGACCGUUAAGCAUUAUCUUCAUUUUGCCUGUACCUGCUGACUCAUCUUUAUUUGUAGCUGAAAUGAUUGAAGGGAAAAUUGAUGUUAUGGUAUUAUGACCUAGACCUCGUGGAAAAUUGAUGUUAUGGUACUAUGACCUAGACCUCGUAAUUUAUUGUGGUGCUUUUUGCCAGAGAAAUUGUACUGUAUAAACUUUGUGCAAGAUCUGUGCCUUAUUGGUC